GGGUUGUGAGGUUAAGCGACUAAGCGUACACGGUGGAUGCCCUGGCAGUCAGAGGCGAUGAAGGACGUGCUAAUCUGCGAAAAGCGUCGGUAAGGUGAUAUGAACCAUUAUAGCCGGCGAUGUCCGAAUGGGGAAACCCAGUGCAAUUCGUUGCACUAUCGUUAACUGAAUACAUAGGUUAACGAGGCGAACCGGGGGAACUGAAACAUCUAAGUACCCCGAGGAAAAGAAAUCAACCGAGAUUCCCCCAGUAGCGGCGAGCGAACGGGGAGCAGCCCAGAGUCUGAAUCAGCUUGUGUGUUAGUGGAACGGUCUGGAAAGUCCGACGGUACAGGGUGAUAGUCCCGUACACCAAAAUGCACAGGCUGUGAACUCGAAGAGUAGGGCGGGACACGUGGUAUCCUGUCUGAAUAUGGGGGGACCAUCCUCCAAGGCUAAAUACUCCUGACUGACCGAUAGUGAACCAGUACCGUGAGGGAAAGGCGAAAAGAACCCCGGCGAGGGGAGUGAAAAAGAACCUGAAACCGUGUACGUACAAGCAGUGGGAGCACCUUCGGGUGUGACUGCGUACCUUUUGUAUAAUGGGUCAGCGACUUAUAUUCUGUAGCAAGGUUAACCGUAUAGGGGAGCCGCAGGGAAACCGAGUCUUAACUGGGCGUUAAGUUGCAGGGUAUAGACCCGAAACCCGGUGAUCUAGCCAUGGGCAGGUUGAAGGUUGGGUAACACUAACUGGAGGACCGAACCGACUAAUGUUGAAAAAUUAGCGGAUGACUUGUGGCUGGGGGUGAAAGGCCAAUCAAACCGGGAGAUAGCUGGUUCUCCCCGAAAGCUAUUUAGGUAGCGCCUCGUGAAUUCAUCUUCGGGGUAGAGCACUGUUUCGGCUAGGGGGUCAUCCCGACUUACCAACCCGAUGCAAACUACGAAUACCGAAGAAUGUUAUCACGGGAGACACACGGCGGGUGCUAACGUCCGUCGUGAAGAGGGAAACAACCCAGACCGCCAGCUAAGGUCCCAAAGUCAUGGUUAAGUGGGAAACGAUGUGGGAAGGCACAGACAGCCAGGAUGUUGGCUUAGAAGCAGCCAUCAUUUAAAGAAAGCGUAAUAGCUCACUGGUCGAGUCGGCCUGCGCGGAAGAUGUAACGGGGCUAAACCAUGCACCGAAGCUGCGGCAGCGACACUAUGUGUUGUUGGGUAGGGGAGCGUUCUGUAAGCCUGCGAAGGUGUGCUGUGAGGCAUGCUGGAGGUAUCAGAAGUGCGAAUGCUGACAUAAGUAACGAUAAAGCGGGUGAAAAGCCCGCUCGCCGGAAGACCAAGGGUUCCUGUCCAACGUUAAUCGGGGCAGGGUGAGUCGACCCCUAAGGCGAGGCCGAAAGGCGUAGUCGAUGGGAAACAGGUUAAUAUUCCUGUACUUGGUGUUACUGCGAAGGGGGACGGAGAAGGCUAUGUUAGCCGGGCGACGGUUGUCCCGGUUUAAGCAUGUAGGCUGGUUGUCCAGGCAAAUCCGGAUAAUCAAGGCUGAGGUGUGAUGACGAGGCACUACGGUGCUGAAGUAACAAAUGCCCUGCUUCCAGGAAAAGCCUCUAAGCAUCAGGUAACAUUAAAUCGUACCCCAAACCGACACAGGUGGUCAGGUAGAGAAUACCAAGGCGCUUGAGAGAACUCGGGUGAAGGAACUAGGCAAAAUGGUGCCGUAACUUCGGGAGAAGGCACGCUGGUGUGUAGGUGAAGUCCCUGCGGAUGGAGCUGAGACCAGUCGAAGAUACCAGCUGGCUGCAACUGUUUAUUAAAAACACAGCACUGUGCAAACACGAAAGUGGACGUAUACGGUGUGACGCCUGCCCGGUGCCGGAAGGUUAAUUGAUGGGGUUAUCCGUAAGGAGAAGCUCUUGAUCGAAGCCCCGGUAAACGGCGGCCGUAACUAUAACGGUCCUAAGGUAGCGAAAUUCCUUGUCGGGUAAGUUCCGACCUGCACGAAUGGCGUAAUGAUGGCCAGGCUGUCUCCACCCGAGACUCAGUGAAAUUGAACUCGCUGUGAAGAUGCAGUGUACCCGCGGCAAGACGGAAAGACCCCGUGAACCUUUACUAUAGCUUGACACUGAACAUUGAGCCUUGAUGUGUAGGAUAGGUGGGAGGCUUUGAAGCGUGGACGCCAGUCUGCGUGGAGCCAACCUUGAAAUACCACCCUUUAAUGUUUGAUGUUCUAACGUUGGCCCCUUACCGGGGUUGCGGACAGUGUCUGGUGGGUAGUUUGACUGGGGCGGUCUCCUCCCAAAGCGUAACGGAGGAGCACGAAGGUUAGCUAAUCCUGGUCGGACAUCAGGAGGUUAGUGCAAUGGCAUAAGCUAGCUUGACUGCGAGCGUGACGGCGCGAGCAGGUGCGAAAGCAGGUCAUAGUGAUCCGGUGGUUCUGAAUGGAAGGGCCAUCGCUCAACGGAUAAAAGGUACUCCGGGGAUAACAGGCUGAUACCGCCCAAGAGUUCAUAUCGACGGCGGUGUUUGGCACCUCGAUGUCGGCUCAUCACAUCCUGGGGCUGAAGUAGGUCCCAAGGGUAUGGCUGUUCGCCAUUUAAAGUGGUACGCGAGCUGGGUUUAGAACGUCGUGAGACAGUUCGGUCCCUAUCUGCCGUGGGCGCUGGAGAAUUGAGGGGGCUGCUCCUAGUACGAGAGGACCGGAGUGGACGCAUCACUGGUGUUCGGGUUGUCAUGCCAAUGGCACUGCCCGGUAGCUAAAUGCGGAAGAGAUAAGUGCUGAAAGCAUCUAAGCACGAAACUUGCCCGAGAUGAGUUCUCCCUGAGACUUUAAGUCUCCUGAAGGAACGUUGAAGACGACGACGUUGAUAGGCCGGGUGUGUAAGCGCAGCGAUGCGUUGAGCUAACCGGUACUAAUGAACCGUGAGGCUUAACCUUACAACGCCGAAG
rnacentral:rRNA from 1 species